UUCAACUAUUUUAUUGUUGUGAUGAUUUUCUCAUCACUCUACUUGUCCAGAGGACAAACUACAAAUAAACCUUUGACAACGAAUAAAAGUGUUGAAAAUACAGAAGAACCAAGAACUACACCGAAAGUUUUUGAGGAUUCUAGGCCAAAUAGUGUGUUUUUCAUUGAGCCUAUCAUUAGAAGACCCCGAUUACAAAGAGUCCAGAGGAUAGAGCUAGCCGAUCCUUGAAUAUUAAACUAUAAUAGAAAGGCGAACCGAACCCAUUCUUAUUAAGAACAGCCCUUCUGAAGCAGUCAUGAAAUUCAUACAACCAGCAUGUAUUCGGUGCACGUAAUAUAUAUCUAACGCUGUCUGUGAAUUAUGUAAUGCAUGACCGACAAAUGAAGUGCUAGUAUAACAUUUA